AGGAAAGUAAUUGGAAAGGCUUCUCUCUUUGUUUCCUUGUCUGGGUGAUUUCUAAAAUCCUCGUAACGUGCUGGGGAUCCCACGGAAUUGCUGUGCUCCAGCGCUGGGGGAUUGUGUGUGCGCGUUGCCUGCGCGUGAGUGUGAGUGUGGGUGCGCCCGGACGCGGGGAGAGCUGGGCCCGCUGCGCCCGCUGGCGAAUCCCUGAAUCUGGACCACUGACCCACUGAAAGGGCCAGAGAGCUGGAUAAAGGAGGGGCAGGCAGGAGUGGUGGGUGAAGGAGGCAACACACACACACACACACAUACACACACACAGACACACACACACACACACACCAGAGGAGGGGGCGGGGUGACGUCACUCCCCAGCAUCCACCCACCAGGCCAGAAAAGACCCUCUCCAACAGAUUCACUCAUCUCCUAAGAGAUGCACACCCGGGCGCUUCCUGCUCUGCGUCCCAGCGCAAAGGAGGAAAAAAUGCUGGGCGCGCCCUAUUGACAGCAGUGAUAAUACUAUAGGGAGCGUGCUUUGAUGAGACACAGUUUGUGUCCGCCGCAGUUCACCUUGGCAGCCUCCUUCGGGGAUGCUUGUAGGAUCCACUUUGAAGGCAACGAAGAAGACUGGGUAGUACUGAACCAAAAUCUUAGUGUGAUAACUUGUUUUGCUUUCAUGUCACUUGCUUUUAUGAUGUUGGAAAUGCAGUGCUCCUCAGCUUCUCUGAAGGACACUAUAACACCUCUUCCCUAGACAAGCACCCAGUUGUUGGGCUAUGCACUCUUCAUCCACACAACCCAAGGUGACUAAGGUGCACUGUGUGUAUUGUUAGCUAAGAGAUGGAUUUUAACCUUCUUCACUACUCAUAGGAUCUCCAGCAUGUGGAAAAAGUCGGCAGCUGGAAGCCACCAUUGGCAGUUGGCCCAUCAAACUUUAUUAGAAACUUGGUCAGAAAGGUUAAAUAAAGUAAAGCUAGAGCUCACCAGCCACCUCCAUUGCUCAUUCUGUGUUCAGGCCAGCACAUACACACAGUACUUAUCCCUGCAGACUCCAGGCUUUGAAAGAGCAAAGGAGCUGAAAAGCUGUGCAGGGAUGAUGGACACCUGCCCCCUGUGACCUAAGGAUGGAUCCAGAAAUCUCAGCCUCCCCAUAGGUGAAGAAACGAAGACCCUGAGAAUUUAAAAUCAUCCAACUAUUUGGUGCCAGAAGCAGGACAAGAACUCAGACAUCAUGAUCCAGUGCCCUCCAUCCCACCAGCUAUUCAUCAUCACCUCCACAUUCUGGAUCAAAGAAGCCAGUUUUCCAACUUAUCAAUGAGCAAUACAUAUAGAAUAUUUUAAAAACUCCAAAUACUUUUAUGAAGGAAAAAUGAAGCAAUAGGACAAGACAUUUUCUUCGUUUCCUUCCAGCUCUAACAUUCUGUGAUAAAUAGCACACAGGAGCUUUGCUAUAGCACAACCCCCUCUAGUGCAUAAUUCAGCAUACGAUGAGUAUGAGUCUGUUUUGGACCCCAUCCAAAGGAGUUAGUUCCUAGAAGUACUUGGAAGAUUUAUUCUCAUUUAUCAUGAGGCAUCCUAACAGGAGACUAAAAAUAAUCACGAUGACAAUAAUAGUAAUCAGUUGUUACACUUGUAUUAUGUACUAAGCAUCGUGCUAAGCAUGUUAAAGUUCACCCGUUUUUGAAAAGGCACUUCAUGACCUUAUGUGGGUUGCGAAUCUAGUGGGUCAUAAACAAUUUCUGAAAUGAAAGAAAAGUAGGAAAAAACAGAGUACAUUAUACAUACUAAGUUGUUUUAUUUUUUAUUUUUUUAUUUUUUUUGCAAAACUUCCUUUUUGAUCAUGCGGCUAGUGAUUAAAAGUUUGGAAGCACUGCCUCAUUUCCAAUCUUAACUGCCUUGCUAGUUAAGUAUUAUUAGCCCCAUUAUAUAAGUGAGGAAACAGGAGGAGAGAGGAUAAGUAAUUUGGCCAAGCUGACAUAGUGAGUGGCCAAGCUAGAAUUUUGAACCUAGAUCUGUUUGACUUCAAAUCCGAUAUUUUCACUUCUAUAGUGAUGAUAAAUUAUUGACCAAGGUAUGGAAUAAAUUGUUGCUAAUCAUAUUUUCUUUGUGAGGACUACUGGGGUUUUUAUUAAAUCCAGCUAAAUGGAGAAACAGCAUAGAUUCAAGUGACAUGUUCGGAAGAUAGUGAGGAAUUUCAUAAAACACUCAAUCUAAUAUCUAAGACCUUUUCCUAUAGGUGUUAGCUUAUGUCUAAUACACUUUAUUAACUUACUGCUAAAUACAUAAAUGAAACAAUAAUUAAUAGUUUCAGUCCUCAAAUAACUUAAAUAUUCACUUCUACGUGUGUUUCUAUUUUUAUUUCAGAGAGUAUUUUUCAAAUUUAAGGUAUACAGCAUUUCUCAGUAGCUUGCUUUGGCCAAACACAGAACUAGCACAUAAGAAAGAUAAAAGGCCAAGCACUGUGGCUCACACCUGUAAUCCCAGCACUUUUGGAGGCCAAGGCAGGCAGAUCACCUGAGGUCAGGAGUUUGAAAUCAGCCUGGCCAACAUGGUGAAACCCGUCUCUACUAAAAAUACAAAAAUUAUCUGGGCGUGGUGGCACGUGUCUGUAAUCCCAGCUACUCGGGAGGCUGAGGCAGGAGAAUUGCUUGAACCCAGGAGGUGGAGGUUGAAGUGAGCCGAGAUCACGCCAUUGCACUCCAGACUGGGCAACAGAGCCAGACUCUGUCUCAAGAAUAAAUUAAAAAGCCAGACAACCCUAUCAUUCAAAUUCAAUUGUAAAGAAGAAAAGAAGAUAUUAAUUAAGGUGCCAUGCUAAAUUUUUUGACCCAUGUAGUUCUAUGGAUUCUACCAGUAACAUUGCAUGCUUAGGUGUCAUUACUCCCAUUCUGCAGAUUUGAAAGCUCAAACUCAGAACUAGCUGAUGAUUGAAAUCACCUGUUCUGAUUCCUCUACCCAAAGAUUCUUUACAAACAAGUGGGCUUCCAGUAGAAAAGGAGGCAGCUAGAGAUUUUGAGACAUGUUGUACAAUCAUUUAUGCUUUCUUUUUCCACGUGAAAAAAAUACACUUUCCUUUUCUUCAAGGCAGCAUCUCUUGCUGCUGUUAGGCAGCACUGUCCUCUUUAAGAAAAGAAAUCCACAUCUUUCAUACAGAAAGGCCUAGAAAAGCCAGACCUUCUCCACUGACUGCUCUGUUCGGCUGCUGCAUUUCACCCUCACCUGCAGCGUGUAGAGGACGUUAUGGUACGAUGCUAUUUUCUGUUGGCUCUGCUACUGGAGAUGAUUACAGCAUGAGACUGUGACAAAUGGAUAUUCCCAUUAAAUUCUUUAGUAGACUGGGGCAUUCCAUUAACCACUGGCACUAUCCCAACCCAAGUGAAACACUGGGUCAUUUUUUUCUUGUGAGCAAGAAGUGAAGGGAGAAAACAAAGGAUAUACUCUAAUUACCUUUCCUAUUUUUUUUUUGUUGCAUGCAUUAUGAUAGCUGUAUAUUACACUUUUUUAUAAUUAAUAUAUGACAAGCUGUCAGCUAAAAUUUAACAGGUGAUUUGUCAAGAAGGCCCAUUAAUGCAUACAUUAAGCAGUGGAUUUCAGUGUUUCCUAACAAAAUUGUGUAUUGGUUUUGUUUUUUCAUUCUAUUUAGUAUAAAGAUUUAGAGGCCACCUAUCUUUACAUUUUGCAGCAUUUUAAAAAAAUAAAACUAUUGCUAACAUAAAUGGGUGCAUUGUUAGUUAUAUGAGGUAUAAACACAUUUCUGUCACCUUAACCUCUAAAUUUGUUUCACUGAGGAAACAAAUUGCCUAGUGUUUAUUUUAAAGUUUUAACUUUCAUGGGUUUUGAUACUUUUUUAAAAUUAUAUCUUCAGUAGGAAAGGCAGAGCUGAUUAGGGAGGAAAGCAACUGCAGUUACUUAUGUUCCAUUUAGUGUUUGUAUCUUAGGUAAGAAAAUUCUGAAAUGAAGGAAUAUUUUAAAAUACAGAAAAAGAUUAAGAAGUCACCAGAAAGCUAGUAAUUAAUCAUUGAAUAAAGGAACACUCUACAGAGACCAAAAACUGAUGAAACAGGCUCCAUCUUGCUGAAUGGCGCAAGAAUGGGAAACACAAUAGAAAUGAAUCACAGAUAGUUGUAAGGAGGAUUCUUUGAAAGAAGGAAAACUCUGUUUCUCUAUCUGUAGGAUGUCAAAUCAUGGGACAUAACCUGAAAAGGAAGUUAAAUUUUGAACUUCAAUAUUAUUAUUUCCAUGGUCAACCAAAAUUUGUACUGUUUAAGAGAAAGAUACAAAAGUACUGCAGCAUUUGUUUAAAAUUUCAUUUGCACAAGCCUGACUCUUAUCUCUCAAGACUCGGACAUGCUUCAGGCUUCUAAUGACUCACAAUCCACUACUCUAGAGGGUGCUGAAUCUCCUUAAUGAAAGAAUGUGCUUUAAGAUUCAAUGGUUAGGAAGAGAGAAAUAAACGAGAGUAAAACACGAAGCACAGCAGUUUUUCAAAGCCAGUAAGACUUCUGCGUCCACCAACCAACUUUAGCUCUUACAUUUUUAGAAAGAAAGCACUAACACAGAACCAUGAAAUUAUUUUUAAAGGUUCUUUCUAACAGGGUUUCAGAGGAUGGUUUCCAAAAAACUCACUCAGAAGUGAAAUACCACACGUUGAUUUUCAUGUUGCAGGGAGCGCAUUCCUAUGCAGUUCAGGGAUUAUAAAUGACCAGUGGCAAGUUGGUCAUUGUAUCCUGGGCCAGGAUCUCACUGUCUCCAGAUCUCGCUUUGUUUCCCAUAUGCAGCAGAGUCCCCAUGAGUAACUGGGGGUGUUUCCUUGUGCAUUCAGUAACAGUUUUCAAAACCGUGAAUAUAGCAAGGCAUCAAGACUACUAUAUUUCUGCCACUUUUCUAAUGUUUUCUCUUUGUCUUAUACUUCUGUUCUUGUCUUACACUUGUAUUAAAAACACAAUAAAGAAAACAGCUUUCUACAA